GAAUUCGAUUAGAGUUUGAUCAUGGCUCAGAACGUACGCUGGCGGCACGCCUAACACAUGCAAGUCGAACGAAGUAGCAAUACUUAGUGGCAGACGGGUGAGUAACAUGUAGGUAUCUGCCCUUUGGCCUGGAAUAACACGAGGAAACUUGUGCUAAUACCGGAUAAGUCUUUACGGAGAAAGCUUUAUGCACCAUUGGAUGAGCCUGCACUUGAUUAGUUUGUUGGUGGGGUAAUGGCCUACCAAGACUUUGAUCAAUAGCUGAUUUGAGAGGAUGAUCAGCCACAUUGGGACUGAGACACGGCCCAAACUCCUACGGGAGGCAGCAGUGGGGAAUCUUGCACAAUGGAGGAAACUCUGAUGCAGCGAUGCCGCGUGAGUGAAGAAGGCCCUUGGGUUGUAAAGCUCUUUCGUCGGGGAAGAAAAUGACUGUACCCGAAUAAGAAGGUCCGGCUAACUUCGUGCCAGCAGCCGCGGUAAUACGAAGGGACCUAGCGUAGUUCGGAAUUACUGGGCUUAAAGAGUUCGUAGGUUGUUGAAAAAAGUUGGUGGUGAAAUCCCAGAGCUUAACUCUGGAACUGCCAUCAAAACUUUUCAGCUAGAGUUUGAUAGAGGAAAGCAGAAUUUCUAGUGUAGAGGUGAAAUUCGUAGAUAUUAGAAAGAAUACCAAUUGCGAAGGCAGCUUUCUGGAUCAUUACUGACACUGAGGAACGAAAGCAUGGGUAGCGAAGAGGAUUAGAUACCCUCGUAGUCCAUGCCGUAAACGAUGUGUGUUAGACGUUGGAAAUUUAUUUUCAGUGUCGCAGCGAAAGCGAUAAACACACCGCCUGGGGAGUACGACCGCAAGGUUAAAACUCAAAUGAAUUGACGGGGACCCGCACAAGUAGUGGAGCAUGUGGUUUAAUUCGAAGAUACGCGCAGAACCUUACCAACACUUGACAUGUUCGUCGCGACUCUAAGAGAUUAGAGUUUUCGGUUCGGCCGGACGAAACACAGGUGCUGCAUGGCUGUCGUCAGCUCGUGUCGUGAGAUGUUGGGUUAAGUCCCGCAACGAGCGCAACCCUCACUUUUAGUUGCCAUCAUUUAGUUGGGCACUCUGAAAGAACUGCCAGUGAUAAGCUGGAGGAAGGUGGGGAUGACGUCAAGUCCUCAUGGCCCUUACGUGUUGGGCUACACACGUGCUACAAUGGUAUCUACAACAGGAAGCAAGACGGCGACGUCAAGCAAAUCCUUAAAAGAUACCUCAGUUCGGAUUGCACUCUGCAACUCGAGUGCAUGAAGCUGGAAUUACUAGUAAUCGUGGAUCAGCGUGCCACGGUGAAUGCGUUCCCGGGUCUUGUAGA
rnacentral:rRNA from 1 species